rnacentral:rRNA from 1 species
GGAUUAGAUACCCUGGUAGUCCACGCCGUAAACGAUGAGUACUAGCUAUUGGAGGUAUUGACCCCUUCAGUGGCGCAGCUAACGCAUUAAGUACUCCGCCUGGGAAGUACGGUCGCAAGACUAAAACUCAAAGGAAUUGACGGGGGCCCGCACAAGCGGUGGAUUAUGUGGUUUAAUUCGAAGCAACGCGCAGAACCUUACCUAGGCUUGAAAUCCUCAGAAUUCGACGUAAUUGUUGAAGUGCCCGCAAGGGAAUUGAGUGACAGGUGCUGCAUGGCUGUCGUCAGCUCGUGCCG